rnacentral:lncRNA from 1 species
GUUUUGAGCAUGGAGGCCGUGACCCCCAGUGGGUAUAAUGGUAAUAUCAAGUCGAUGCUCUUGGCCAACGCUCUGUUUCGAAUGGGGGGUGUUGCGGUUUUGUUAUCCAACAAGAAGCAAGAUCAAUCGAGGGCUAAGUACAAACUCAAAUAUCUUUUCAGAACACAUAUGGGUUCGGAUGAUAGGGCCUACCAGUCCGUUUAUCAGCAGAGUGAUGAUACUGGAGAAGUGGGAGUUUCUCUAUCGAGGUCACUUCUGCAUGUGGCGGCGAAUGCCCUGAAAUUGAAUAUAACAGAAUUAGGGCCGAGGGUUUUGCCGAUUUCUGAGAUGUUUUUAUAUUUAAAGUCGGUUGUUCAGUGCAAGUUCUUGAAUAGGGAGAGAGGGGGAGAGAUUUACGUACCGGAUUUCAAGAAGGCGUUUGAGCAUUUCUGCAUACAUGCUGGCGGCAGGGCGGUGAUUGAUGCAGUGGAGGGGCGACUGAAGCUGAGCAGGGAGGAUGG